rnacentral:rRNA from 1 species
CCUACGGGGGGCUGCAGUGGGGAAUAUUGGACAAUGGGGGGAACCCUGAUCCAGCCAUGCCGCGUGUGUGAAGAAGGCCCUCGGGUUGUAAAGCACUUUCAGUGAGGAAGAACGCCUGGUGGUUAAUACCCAUCAGGAAAGACAUCACUCACAGAAGAAGCACCGGCUAACUCCGUGCCAGCAGCCGCGGUAAUACGGAGGGUGCGAGCGUUAAUCGGAAUUACUGGGCGUAAAGCGCGCGUAGGUGGCUUGAUAAGCCGGUUGUGAAAGCCCCGGGCUCAACCUGGGAACGGCAUCCGGAACUGUCAAGCUAGAGUGCAGGAGAGGAAGGUAGAAUUCCCGGUGUAGCGGUGAAAUGCGUAGAGAUCAGGAGGAAUACCAGUGGCGAAGGCGGCCUUCUGGACUGACACUGACACUGAGGUGCGAAAGCGUGGGUAGCAAACAGGAUUAGAUACCCCUGUAGUC